rnacentral:rRNA from 1 species
AAGGUUAAACACUUAAGGUGCGGAGCCGUAGCGAAAGCGAGUUUUAACUGAGCGUUCAGUUACUUGACGUAGACCCGAAACCGGGCGACCUACCCAUGAGCAGGAUGAAGCGAAAGUAAAAUUUCGUGGAGGUCCGAACCCACGAGCGUUGAAAAGCUCGGGGAUGACUUGUGGGUAGCGGUGAAAUUCCAAUCGAGCCCGGAGAUAGCUGGUUCUCCCCGAAAUAGCUUUAGGGCUAGCCUCAAGGUGAGAGAUACGGAGGUAGAGCACUGAAUGUCCUAGGGGGUAUUGCACCUACCGAAGACUAUCAAACUCCGAAUGCCGUCAUCUUAUACUUGGGAGUCAGACUGUGGGUGAUAAGAUUCAUAGUCGAAAGGGCAACAGCCCAGAUCGUCAGCUAAGGUCCCUAAAUGUAAGUUAAGUGGUAAAGGAUGUGGGAUUGCACAGACAACCAGGAUGUUGGCUUAGAAGCAGCCACUCAUUCAAAGAGUGCGUAAUAGCUCACUGGUCGAGUGAUCCUGCGCCGAAGAUUUCCGGGGCUAAAACUUACUACCGAAGCUACGGCAUCAGUAAUGAUGGGUAGGGGAGCUUCCCAUACGGGUUGAAGCAUGACCGUAAGGACAUGUGGACAGUAUGGGAGUGAGAAUGUUGGCAUGAGUAGCGAGAUGUGGGUGAGAAUCCCACAGGCCGUAAACCCAAGGUUUCCAGGGGAAGGUUCGUCCGCCCUGGGUUAGUCGGGACCUAAGCUGAGGCCGAAAGGCGUAGGUGAUGGACAACAGGUUGAU